rnacentral:rRNA from 1 species
UACGUAGGGUGCAAGCGUUGUUCGGAAUUACUGGGCGUAAAGGGCUCGUAGGCGGCCAACUAAGUCGGACGUGAAAUCCCUCAGCUUAACUGGGGAACUGCGUCCGAUACUGGAUGGCUUGGAUUUGGGAGAGGGAUGCGGAAUUCCAGGUGUAGCGGUGAAAUGCGUAGAUAUCUGGAGGAACACCGGUGGCGAAGGCGGCAUCCUGGACCAAUAUUGACGCUGAGGAGCGAAAGCCAGGGGAGCAAACGGG